AAAAUCUCCUGCUCAUCUCCUAACAGGGUUUCCACCUCGUGGUGCUGCCUCAUACCCACCUCCUGAACGUGCAGGUGGUGUUGCAGACCCAUAAGGAACAUUAUUUCCGGAUGGCACCUGUCCAUGGGGGCCAGGGGCAGCUCUGGUAGGUGCAUCAUAGUUAGUGCCCCUGGGUGCAUCAUAAACCGGUCCUCUCUGCCCAUCAUAAGCUGGCCCUCUCUGUGCAUCAUAACCAGGUCCCUUUUGAGCAUCAUAACCAGGCCCUCUCUGUGGAUCAUAACCAGGUCCUCUUGGUGCAUCAUAGCCAGGUCCUCUAGGUGCAUCAUAGCCGGGUCCUCUAGGUCCAUCAUAACCAGGUCUGCUAGCAGCAGGGCCAGAUUGAGGUCCAGCAUAAGCAGGAGUACCACCACCACCACCACCACCACCUGCAGCAGCAACACCACCACCUGUGGCACCAGGGAGGGGGGCACGUCCCUGUCAUACAAAGCAAGCGCAUUAUCAGUCUUCACCUUCACCAUCUGAAUAAUGGUCCAUAAGGAAUCAGAGGGAAAAGCAUCGCCUCAUAAACAAUCAGAAUUAACUCCUAGUGAGUUCUCCCCCAGCCAGAUUCAAACAAUUCAAUUAACCUCUUAUUUUUCAGCAGAAUUUCACCUUUUAUUUGAAACUGUUGAGCCUCAUUACCCAGAUUGGGACUCAGAAUACAUCCACAUUCAAUGCAAUAAGCACUUCAAUCCUUAAAUAAUCUGCAUUAGCAGCUUGGCUUUCAAGGGAAGCAAGGUCCCACAUGCCCAUACCAACUAAAUAUUAAUAUUUAAGUUUAUCUGGCUUGUUCCAAUUCAUUUUAAUACCAUUGAGAUUAGUAGUUUCUACAUGGCAUCACUCCACCAUAUACAGCCACUCUUCAUGAUUUAUAUAUAUAAAAAAAAAAUUAAAAUAAAUAAAAAAAACAAGUAGAACUAUAAAUCAAUACCCUAAAUACAGUUCCAUUUAUAAAAAAUCUUGAGAAUGGGUUGCUCCAUGGCCUGUAACGAGUCCAGUAAUAAUGUCACACCUCUUUUAAAUCUUAUUUUCCUAUAUUUAAUCCACAUAUUUUUUUAAAGAAGCCAACACAAUCCACAUACUUAUGAAAGAUGACAAUAACUUAGUUACAACUGCAAUAUUUUACUUAGAUAUUCUCCCAAUAUUGCCAUUUGUAGUUACAACUGCAAUAUUUUACUUAGAUAUUCUCCCAAUAUUGCCAUUUGUAUCAUUUUUUUUUUUUUUGAUAGGCCCAAUAUUGCCAUUUUUAUCAUUUGCUCUCCCUUAACAAAGUUUCAUCACCAUCCACCAACACAGCAUUUUAAGAUUGCAAAACCAAGUAAUAAAUCAUCACCUAUCAAGAAAUUAAAUAAAAUAAUAAACCAUCACAGAGAGCCACAAAAUAUAUUUAGGAUAGAAGAGAAAACAUCUAGCAAGGUAGACUUGAGACCAUAACUCAAUCAGUUGACUGUCUUGGCAUUUGAGUUUGGUUGUAAGGUGGGUGUCCUUCCUUCCUUUUACUUGGCUCUUCCUUUGAGUGCCCCAUUGAAAUCUAUAAUGGCUUGGGAUGGGGUGGAAAAGAGGCUCCGUAAAAGGUUGACCAUAUGGAAAAAACAAUAUAUCUCUAAAGGAGUGAGAAUUACUUUGAUUCGAAACACUUUUUUUAGUAUGCUUAUAUACUUUAUGUCUUUGUUUUGCAUGCCAAAGUCAGUCAAAUUCAGGUUAGAGCAGAUUCAAAGGAAUUUUCUUUGGGGCGAUGAGGCUCUCAUUUGGAAGCCACACUUGGUAAGGUGGGCAAUUGCUUAUUUAGAUAAAAGGAGGGGCUUGGGAGUUAGAUGUCUAAUCAACACUAAACAAGGCUCCCCUAUGCAAAUGGAGUUGGCGUUUUACUUAUGAAAGGGGGGCCCUUUGGAAGCAAGUUAUCAAUGGGAAGUAUGAGGAAGAAGAAGGGGGGUUGGCACUCUCAUGAAGUGAGGGAUGAGUAUGGUGUUGGGUUAUGGAAAGUCCUCAGAAAUGAUUGGAUCUUAUGAGUAAGAGUUUCUUACUUAGUGAAUAAUGGUCAAAGAUUGAGGUUUUGGAAUGACAAGUGGUGUGGAGAUGAACCGUUGUGUGUUACCUUUCCUUCUUUAUUUGCCUUAGCUGUUUCAAAAGAGGCCUAGGUGGCAGAUGUUUGGAAUUCAUCAGUUGAAGGGGGUGGUUGGACUCCUUGCUUCUCUAAGCUUUUCAAUGAUUGAGAGGUUGAAAGUGUGGAGCAGUUCCUUUUGAGACUUCAAGAGAAGAGGGUGUAUAGGGGUGAGGAAGACUGGGUGCUAAGGACAAAGUCAAAGAGCGGAAAGUUUUCCGUUAAAACCCUCCAUUCUGCUUUGGACUCCAGUCUCCUUUCAGAUAAGCAUUAGUUGAAGCCCUUACAUACUGCCUAAGGUGGGCUUCUCUGCAUGGGGGGCAACAUGAGGAAAGGCCUUAUUCACUGUAUAAAGAUAAGGAUUCUAUGGUAGAUGCUUUUUGCUAUCUUUGGCAUGUCUUUGGUUCUUUCCUCUACAAUUAGAGAGACCCUUCUUGCUUGGAAUGGUUCUUUUGUGCGCAAAAAGUGCAAAAAGACUUGGAAGGUAGCCCCCUUAUGUAUCUUUUGGAUAGUUUAGACGGAAAGGGAUAAAAUUGCUUUUAAAAAUGAAGCACUAUCAAACCAAAGGCUCAAAAACUCUUUUAUUUGUAAUUUGUGGUCAUGGACGACAAAAUUUAUAGAUGAUGGUCCUUUGUCUUUAAUCAGCUUUAUUGAUUGGUUAGGUUCUUGGUGAGGACAAGUAUUCUUUUUGUAGCCCCUCUUUUCUCUUGGUUUUACCUUUUGGAAACCAGUGUAUACCUCCUAUAUACUUUGUGAUGCUCCUGUGGGGCCUCCUUUUUACAUGUACUCUUUUAUUUUAUCUAUCAAAAUAACUCAAUUAAUUGACAUUCUGUAGGAAAGCCUAUUAAAACAAAAAGUGAAACCCAUUAUAAAGGGAAAAAAAAAAGGAAUGACAUUCUAUAGUACAAAAAUCAUAUAUAUUCUUCCAAGUUAUCCACCAAAAUUUUCUAAAAGAAACCUGCAGAUGGUAUCAAUUCAUAAAAUGGCCAGAAUUUUUCAAAUUAACAAAAUAAAACAAGCUGCCUAUAACUUUUUAUGAUCAAUCAACAUAUAUGAACACAUACAAAAUACGGCAUAAAAUCAUAUCUUUAAUUUCUUAUUUUUGAUAGGUAUAAAAUUAUAUCUUUCAUGUCCGGAUAUUGAUUUUUGAAGCUUCAACAUAUCCAACUUAAUACCAUCACCAGGAGAGCCAGUCAUGCCCAUAUUCACAAAUCAAUAAAUCCCAGUUUUUUUCCACUGUAAGAUUGUCAAUUUCCUUAGAUUUUUUUAUCAUCUUGGUUUUCUUACGCAACAAAUGAUGGAUUAAGACAGAAUUAUCCCAUUCAUUUUAUGUGAAAUUGAAUAUGACCUUGGUUUCCACCUGAAUUGGAUGAUAUAACAGAGCAUAAAGUUGUAAUAAACUUAAAACCUAGGCAAAACUGAACAUGAAGAAGAUGACAAACCUGAGGAACACCAUAGCCAUCUUCAUAAGCAUUGUGUCCAAUAGGAUGAUGCCCAG
rnacentral:lncRNA from 1 species